AUUAGUAUAUGAAAGAGUUCCUAUGCAACCAGCUUAGUAUUCGAACCUAUGAAGUCACACACAAAAGUCAAACAAUAUAAGAAAGAAUUGAUCAGAUAUUUAUAUAUUCAAUUUAAAAAUAUGAUACUUGAUUGAAUAUAUAGAUUAACUUGAUUAAAAAUUAAGUUAUAGAUCAUACAGAAUUAAAUACUGACUAUGUUCAGCUAGCACUGUGCAUG
rnacentral:lncRNA from 1 species